GCUCCAGUGACCUAGUGGUUAGAGCGUUCGCCUUGGAAGCAGGAGGUCGCAGGUUCGAACCCAUGCCGAGUCA